rnacentral:rRNA from 1 species
CCUACGGGAGGCAGCAGUAGGGAAUAUUGCUCAAUGGGGGCAACCCUGAAGCAGCAACGCCGCGUGGAGGAUGAAGGUUUUAGGAUUGUAAACUCCUUUUGUGAGAGAAGAUAAUGAUGGUAUUUCACGAAUAAGCACCGGCUAACUCCGUGCCAGCAGCCGCGGUAAUACGGGGGGUGCAAGCGUUACUCGGAAUCACGGGGGGGAAAGAGUGCGCAGGCGGGAUUGUAAGUCAGAUGUGAAAUCCUGUAGCUUAACUACAGAACUGCAUUUGAAACUAUGAGUCUAGAGUGUGGGAGGGGUAGGUGGAAUUCUUGGUGUAGGGGUGAAAUGCGUAGAUAUCAGGAGGAAUACUCAUUGCGAAGGCGACCUACUGGAACAUUACUGACGCUCAGGCGCGAAAGCGUGGGGAGCAAACAGGAUUAGAUACCCCUGUAGUC